CAUUAUUAUAACCGGUUAGGGCACGUUAUUGUGCCGUUAAAAUCAGCCUCAGAUUUAAGAUUUAGGUUGACCAUAUGUACCGUAUUUAAUGGGCCCUAGCAGCAGACACCUUCUCUCAUAAUCGAGCCGACGGUACCAAUCACGAAGGGCAAGGCGUGUUGCUUUCCGAUGGAUUGACUCAAGCUAACUUUUCCCCCCAUGCAGGGUGGAUGUAGGAUUUCAUUGCCACUGACAAGUUGAGCGGAGGAGAGGAAAAUUUAAAACCAAUGGUAUUCUCCCGGCAACGGGAAAAUUUCCAAAAACAAAUUGCAUCACUCUACCAUACCGCCAUCCGCUGUGCUACCGGGGGUUUCGUCACGAGCCUCAUAGCAUCACUUUUGUGUGAAAGCGGACUUCAACCCUUGGAUCACAUCAUAACCGACAAGAUAGUAGCAGCUGCAGGACGAAUGAUAGAGAAAACCAUCAAGGCCGAUGCCCUUAUCCAAGGGGCAAACGUCGAAUUCGUCACGCUAACAGAACAAACACUCCCCUCAGUCACCAAACUCAUCCAAAUCGGUAGUCGCCCCUGGUACUGCCGCCCACCACAAAUAGACUGGAUCAUCAAAAAUCAGCUUCGGGCUGGUUGCAAUAGUGUCAUUGCUAACCGUCAUAUUGUUGAACUCGUUCAGCAAAAAUACCAUGACUACCAUCUCAUCUUCACUGACGGAUUAGUACAAAACGGUUCCUCUGGCUGUGGAAUCUACUCCAGUAUCGACAAUAGCGCCAUCCGACUAGCAGACCAUACCUCAAUCUUCACCGCAGAAGCAAUAGUCCUGGUUGCUGCUGUUGAUGGUGUACACAGAGACAAACUUAACGUGAUCUUCACUGACAGUGCAAGUGUCCUUCAAGCAAUUGAAUCUGGAAUCACCCGCGACCCGAACAUUCAACAACUCUGCAAUAUACCGAAUUCACCCCAAGUCACAUUCUGCUGGAUUCAUGGUGACACAGGUAUCCAGGGAAACGAAAUAUCAGACCGACUAGCCAACGCAGCACGUAAUAAUCCGGCCUGCUGUCAUAACACUCUUCCACGCCGUGACUUCAUUCGACCUAGCAAAACCAUCAUCGCUUAAAGCUGGAAUGGUUAUUGGGUUAGCAGCGGUCGCUCUUUCCUGAGAACCAUCAGUACCACAACACCACUGUUGUGACAACUGCGUUUGUUAACGUUGGCCAAACCCCACGACUUCUAGUUAUCGUGUGAAUUUCUAGGGUUCUGCGACAAAGGUCGACGGAGGGAUGCAGUGCACUCCAUUUUGCAACGACGGUUGCGAUGGCGGUGGGGAGAAAAGGGAUAAAUAGCCCCGAAAUACGCGCCCUCGAUCUCUUUGUGCGCCACAACACCAGAAGAUAGGAAUUAAACUAAAUUUGUGAUUUUUUCUUCCCAGUAAAUAUCUACAUUUUUCUCCUAUUCUUUAGGUAUUUCGCAACAACCACCAUGGAAAGAUCAUCCAUCACACCAAGACCAGAGAAUCCUAUCACGACUUCGGAUAGGACACACCCGGCUUACCCACACCUUUUUAUUACAAAAAUCAAGCCCACCACUAUGCAGUUUCUGUGGCGUCGACAUCACAUCUUAACCGAAUGUCAUGGAUAUUCUGCGGAACGCAUCACCUGCAAAUUGGACCACAGCAUGGACACCAUCCUCUCACCAGAGAGCGAUUGCCAGCGUAAACUUUUAAAAUUCCUUCGUAUCACUAAUCUGUAUGAAUAACUCUAACCAAAACCACAUUUGUAACAGACAAUAA